rnacentral:rRNA from 1 species
GUGAGGAAUAUUGGUCAAUGGGCGAGAGCCUGAACCAGCCAAGUCGCGUGAAGGAUGAAGGUUUUAUGAAUUGUAAACUUCUUUUGCAGGGGAAUAAAGUACGGUACGUGUACCGUUUUGUAUGUACUCUGCGAAUAAGGAUCGGCUAACUCCGUGCCAGCAGCCGCGGUAAUACGGAGGAUCCAAGCGUUAUCCGGAUUUAUUGGGUUUAAAGGGUGCGCAGGCGGGUUGAUAAGUCAGCGGUGAAAGUUUGCAGCUUAACUGUAAAAAUGCCGUUGAAACUGUCGGACUUGAGUGUAAAUGAGGUAGGCGGAAUGCGUGGUGUAGCGGUGAAAUGCAUAGAUAUCACGCAGAACUCCGAUUGCGAAGGCAGCUUACUAAGCUACAACUGACACUGAAGCACGAAAGCGUGGGGAUCAAACAGGAUUAGAAACCCCAGUAGUCC